rnacentral:lncRNA from 1 species
GGCGGUUAUGCUGGAUAUGCAAAUUAUCAGCAGCCCCAGCAGCAACAGCAGCAACAGCAACAAUUAGGUUACAGUUGAGAAUUUGGCGAAUCUCAGGGCAUUCUGUCAUUGUGCUUAGCCUGUAAUUGGAAGCUGCACUCCUCCCUACCUUCUCUCUUUCUUGCCUAUUGCGAGCCUUUUUUAGUUUGUUGUCUUAGAAUUUUCAUACCGACAUAAAACCUUUGAAUCUUUUGUCCGGAUAUCUCAUCUGUUGUACUGCUCUCUUUUUGUGUUCUUGAUGCCUUUUUUCCCUCUCGGGUAUUUUUAUAAUAUCUUGUGUUAGAUAUGACCAGAUUGAAUAGAGUGGCAUGUUACACCUGUUGAGAGUAUGAAUCUCCUCAAUGAAUUUGUGCAUGGCAUGUUGUCCAUGAAGUGAAGUUCCUAACCUAUUUGAUGUUUAGACUGGCAUUUGCUUAGUUUAUUUGGUUGGAACCACGAUAGACAUUUGUUCGGUCACUCUGCCCCUAUGUUAUCAGCGAUGUCGGCUAACUGUUGAUUGACGCCGACUCCUUGACUUGGUGUUAUUGUUGAUGUAGUCGUUGAUAUUGCUUGUGCACCCUAACUAGCUACGAGUAGAGCUUUGGAUCUGGUUUUUUCCGUUAUAAUAUUCCAUUCAAGAGCUAUCAGUAUUUAUCGAAUCUGUACUGUUCCUAUCUGGCGGAAGGAUGGAUUUCAUGCUGGUACAGGAGAAAGCAUCUUCAGACUAACAUAGUGGUACCUGAAGGAAGGGUGAAUGCUCUGUGAUGUUAGUGUAGACAUUGGGAAAAAGCUAAUUGUACUAGUAGACAAUGGUGCGUACAAGAAGAAGCGCAAUAAGACUUCGAGCCCAGUUGAUCAGAGCUUGUAUUGGUGUCGGUUUUUGUGCCUCCAGUAACGUCGCAGCCCUUGCAUGGUUCCCCCCGUUGAAGUUGAACGGCGCCAUGACUUCCCUCUUGAUGUUGGGUUGAUGCAGUUGGUUUGGGGAGAUGUUGAUGUUGGGUUGAUGCAUUUGGUUGGGGAGAUCACGGGAGGUCACGUCUAGGGACGAUAUGACCCUAGUAAAUGUUUUCACUCCUUUGUCCUUAGCCCAAACGACAAUUGCUGUAGUUGUGCAAAAGCUGCCCAGACGUGAGAAGGAUUGAACAGACCUCUUGCGUCGUCUCCCUCCUCUUUUUACUAUGUUGUAUUUUCUCUCCAAUUUUUUUUUUUUUUGAGGGUGAUGAGACGGUUUAUGAUGUAAAUGAUGGGACGUUGGCACAGAUAAUUUCUAAAUUUUAAUCUAAUGUGUAAUGGAAUCCUUGAAUUUUUAAUUCAUUAAAUGUAAUUUAUGAUAUUUUGGUACAUGUUCAACUUUAUCCCCAAAUUAUACAAAAAUGUUCAAUGAAGGUAGUUCAAGGAUAGUAUUAAACAUUUUCAUAUAGUUUAGAGAAAACAUAUAUACAAAAUUUAGGGACUAUAUUGAACAAUUUAAGAGUUUAGGGAUGACAUUGUACGUUAGACACAAAUUUAGGGAUCAUAUUGAACAAAUCAAAAAUUCAGGCUUGAACAUUAGGUCAUAGUUUAUGACUAUUUGUGUCAUUUUUCCAUAUAUUAUUAAGGAUUAAGGAUUGCAAGGUGGGGUGGUCUUAUAAGGUGGCCAAAUGCCACGUUGGGAUUUCAUAUUUGAUAGGCAAAAUUGCACAUUAUUAAGUUAUUCCAUGUCAAGGGCACACUAAUGGAGCUGCCGACUGCCGAGUGCCAAACAUUAAAAUAAAAAAAGAAUAAGAAAAAUUCAUUACUUAUUGUUUGAUGAAAAGAUCCAAAGGAUAUAACAAGAUGCCGCCCCGAUUUGCUACCUUCCUUGAACUUGAAUAUUUUUCCAAGAACUUCGAUAACAUCACGUCUCAAUUUGUCAAAUCCUCCCUUGGACUUCUUGCCAAAGAGCAUGGCCAUGACUGAUGUAUGUACUUUGAUAAGGAUUUGGUCUUCAAUACAAGUUUUAGCCACUUGCCCGGACUAAAAUUCUCUCCUUAAUAUAAGAGUGAGUUGGUUUCAUGGAAAAAAAUGAUUUGGAACGUUUUUCCUAAGAAUAAUCACUUGUAUGAAUGAAAAAUAUUUUUAUUGUUGAUGAUAAUAUUUAGAUAUAAAUUGCUAAUGAUAACGAAAAUAUUUUUUAUUUGACUAAUUAUUUUCAACUUUCAGUUUUAGGAUAAUAUUUUUUAAAUAAUUUAUUUUCUUAGAAAUCAACGGAGCCUAAAUUUAGUGUAUUUGCGUGCCAUUCAAAUAGGAAUUUAGGUGAUUUUUCAUGAGGCAGAUUUGGACACAGAUUCCAAAUGUGCCGAUAUGCACUCCAGGAAAAGAAAGAGAUUUGUUAGGUAAUUGUCUAGAGGUAUCUAACUUUAAUUACUAAUGAUAUUUUAUGAUAUAAACAAAUUUCUUUUUCCAAAUGUUCGUGUAUAAAAUUCAAUAUGGAGACAUUCAAAAGAGUCGGCGGCCAGCGCACUCACGUUAGCAUUCUAAAAAAUUUUGGUCAAUAAAGCUUUAAAAGUUUCUUGCUUAUUGGUGCUUGUCGUUUUAAAUCUUGGAAAAGCCUCCCUAAUUUUUUAUAUAAUUAAUUUUGUGGACACGAUGAAAGCUUGGUCAGCUCUACACAAAGGCUGGCCCUCAUGUUCCAUGCCCCCCGUUUUGACUUCGGCGCUCCCUCCUAAAUCAAUUAUCAACCCCCACUAGAUGGAAAAUAAUAUAAAGAAACUUAUAGAGUAAUAUAUAUAUAUAUAGUAUAAUAAAUGAAUAAUAUUACGAAAUUAAAAAAAAAGUGCCGACUUAGGUGCGAAUUUCACUUGAUGGGUGUCCUGAUAACGCAGCUGGAGAUCUUCAAUGUGGCUCUGUCUCCUUAAGUGUUGAUUUCUUCAUUUGUUUUAAAUUGAACACGGCAGGUACGUUGUACUUUUUUUUUUUUUGUUAGUCCUAUUCUAUUUCUACUCUACACUCACUCUCAGACUUUCGCCCUACCUCUUGCAGGGCGUGGGAGUCGAAACCCACUCUUGACACUUACGCGUCCCCACCCCCAUCCCCCUUGAGAAGGUGGGGAUUUGAACCCCUCACCUCCCCCUUCUAUAUUGAAAGAGUGGUCACUGGGACGAAUCCCAAUGGUUAGGUACGUUGUACUUUGAAUGUACCAUUUUAUCAUUUUAUCCUCGGAUUCAUCAAAAGAGAUUCCACUCAAUCCUAAUUUCUACUACCUAAGUUCAUUGUAUAAUGGGAGAAGGAGAAGCCAUUCUUGAUGAUUAAAUCCAGAUUUACGAACUGUCUUGAAAUAAAAUAGGUUUGGCGAUUCUUGCAAAUUUCAAUUCGAUCAUGAGGUAAAAGUACAGAUCUGAAUAUCUCGAUUUUAAUGGUUCAAAUCGCUCUACAAGCAAACUACAAUAGGUUUGGUGAUUCUUGCAAAUUUCAAUUCGAUCAUGAGGUAAAAGUAUAGAUCUGAAUAUCUCAAUUUUAAUGGUUCAAAUCGCUCUACAAGCAAACUAUGCAAUAUAGCAUACGGUCGAGCAAUAUAUCAAUUCACUUGAUUAAUUUCACAUGCUUCGUCCUCAAUGACAUCGGCGGUUUUUUUUUUUUUUUUUCAUUUCUUGUAGUCAAUGUAAAAAAAUCGGGUAGUACUACUACUUAUUUAAAGGAAAGUGCAUGUAUUUUGUCAGAUUUUAUGCUGUGAUUAUUAAUUCUGUCCAUUGAAUUGGAGAUAAGUAAAUCUGAACAGGACAUGGCUUGUUCUUUUAUCCUUUAGUUGGAUGAUCCCUAAUCCAAGAUUAAUGAGGAGUCUUCAUGGAAUUUAAAUUGAAAAACCAUAUUAGCAAGUGGCAUCCUCUUAUUAAUAAAAAGAUUAAAAUCUUCCACAUGAUGUCAAUUGUCAGGCCAUCUUAGUCUUAUUUCCUUCAUUUCAUUUUCUUUUAGUUUAUUGAACAGUACGGCACAUGACACUGCCUCCAUAUCAGCAUCUUCAUCAUCAUUCAUCAACCCUUCCAAUCUCACGCUCCUUUUAUAUAUUCAAGCUCAAAACUUCAAACCAUCUCAAUCUCACAAAUCAACGACGUUCGCUCUCUCCUUCAAUCCAGGCAUUCUCCAUCCGAAAGCCGACGAGUCUUUUGGGGAGAGAGAUACUGAGAUGUCGAUCUCCUCAAGGGGGCCGUACGGCUACUCGAAGAUGGAGAAGGAAGACCCGGAGGAGGCGAGCCACCGGAGGGCUCAGUUCUUGAUCUACAAGGCGUUGGAGAGAGCCGACUGCGAGUCUGCUCAAGCGAGGCGGCCGUCCUUCUUGCGGAUCAGGUUCUGCAGGCUCAAGAUGAGGGUCGGCAAGAGGUUGAAGAGGAUGAGGAAGGGCAUGCUGCUGACGCUCUCUCAGUCCGGGGUCGGUGCUUACAAGCAGAAGAUCGUGAAGCAGAUAAAGAGGAGCUGCAUGCGCUUGUUCAGACUCGGAGAGAGCACCAAGCCCAGCAUUCCACAUUUGCUCAUAUGAAUCCAGUUUUCCGACUCUCUCCUAAUUUUUCAGAUUUUGCCCUUCUCUAUCGGGACUUAUUGUCUGUAAGGAAAUAAUACAGUCAUUAAUGUCAUGAGAUCAUUCGCCUCCUUAAGCCCUUUUUUUGAGAUCGUUAUCAGUCAAAUGAUACGUUUCAGUUCCACUUGACAAGCAAUUUUCCAUCUAGCAGCCCAAACACAGAAGCACUGGCUAUGAGCAGCAAGACAAGUUGCAGAAGAAGUGGAAAGUUUGACAAAUAAAAUGAGAGGCCAUCUCUAAUACGAAAAAAGCACCGGAUUCGCAAAUAACUCUAAAGAUAAAUCAUUUACUACGAUGAUACAUGUUGAUUUUGAAAUAUGUAAUAAGCCCUCAAUUGCUAAAUCACAAUGACAUGAAUUGCAUUUGGUCUAAUGAUAGAGUGUCUAGAAGAGUUUUCAUGACGUGUUGAGCUCAAUCUCAUUUAAUAGAAAUAAGAAAAUGAAGAUUAAAUUUUCUUUUUUAAUUAUGAAUGCAGCAUUUUUAUGUUUAGGAAAAUCACCAACCGUACUGCGGAAUAACAUCAAUCUAACAUGGAGAUUCAAUAUCAUGUAAAAAAGAAAAUUGUAUUCAUGGUUUGAAAAUAGGUAUAGAGGAGGCAAGCAAGACAUGGGCGGCUUCUUUGUCAUUAUCAUGUGUCUCUGACGACAACAUUGCGAGCCUGUAAAAGCCAUGCAUUCCAAGGUCACUUUCGCUCUCUUUUUGUCGGAUCUAAUCGUUUCCACCAGCCUAAACCUAAACCCCAGGAAAAGGUCAAAGUAAUACAUGCAUGUACUGUCCUAAUCUCCGGAAAAUUCGCAUUCUCCCCCGUAAAUUUCCCCACCAUCCGUACCUCCUUUGCCUGUACUUUUGUCCCUCCAGAAAUUACUUGUCGGCUUCGAUGAUACAGAUGGGUUGAUUCGAUGAAGGAUAAUAAUUGAUGGUCAGCGCGGCUAGACCAAGAAACUUUUGAAUAUUCCGUAUUUUUUGACCUAAAUUAUGAAGGAUGGGCAGGCAGGUCAUCAUUAUUGUUCCCUGUUUUAUGGCAUCUUUCUUGUUUAUAUUUUCUGGGGCUCCUAUUAGAAAGAUAAAUAUGCUGCCGAGGCACUAAGGUUUAGCAUAGGAUUCUUGGUCGCAUUAAUUGGAUUUAAGGUAAUAUAAUCCUACAUAACAUGGGGGUGUACCGACUUAUGCAUGUUCUGCAACAAGAUCUGCAAUAUAUACACGGGAUUGCUUGUGCUGAUGGUUUCUAUAUUAGUCUAAGCCCAAUAGCACAACUCAAAGUCAUUUUCUAUUUCUGCUUGGUCUCAAAAAUCGUAUCCUAUAAGGUUACGUUUGGCAGUCGGGAUAAAAUUCAGGAUAUGAUAUAAUUUAUCAUAUCCUACGUUUGGUGCUCACUCGGGAUAUGAUAAAGUCGGAUAUAAGGGGGAUAUAGACAUGAUAAAAUUAUCCCAUGGGGGAGGUGGGAUAAAUGUGGAUAUGAUUUCUAACGUCCAUAAUAGGAAAGUUAUUUUUCUUGAAUAACAAAUUUAUUAAAUUAACAAAAUUGAAAUUAUAUUUCAAUAUAAAUAAUAUUUGAAUUCUAAUUUAAGAAAAUAAAAAUAAAAAAUAAAAAUUUAUUUUUAAUUAAUCUUAUUUUAAUUCUAUUUUAUAAUAAACAUUCAAUCUAUAAAUUAAAUAUUUAUAUUUAUUAUAUAUUUUAGGUAUUUUUGUAUUUUAAAUAUGUUAGUACAGUUUACUAUUUGAUAAAUUUUUAUUAAAGAAUGAUGAAAGGGAAAAAAGAAAUAAUAAUGAAAAUAAUAUUAAAAAAAUAGGAAAAAUAAAAUAAAUAAUAAAUAUAAAUAAAUUAAGGAAUAGUGUUACGAGAUAUUUUCACCAUAUUCAUUUAUGAACAUUUAGGUUCAUUUAUAAUGAUAUGCCGUUUAUAUAAAAAAAUAAAAAUGUACUUGAUGUGAACAUAUCCGACUUUAAUACUGUGAUUCACCAAACAUUGGACGGGAUAUAAAAAAAUCCCAGGACUUCAUAUCCUAUCCUAUCCAAUCCUAUCCCGAUUAGAAAUUCGGACGACCAAACGUAGCCUAAUUUAUUAGAAGAUGGCAGCAUAUCGAGAGCUAACAUUGCUUAAACCCACACCGGUUGACAUUUUUCUUGUGCUUGGACCGGGUCCAAUAGCAAAAGACCUUACUGACUCUUGUGCGAAUAUUGCUGGGUUCAUUUGAUUCCUAGGCCCAUGAACGCGUCCAGUAGCAAACACAAUGAUGCAUAAACACCGGAUUUUUAAUGACUAUGAUCUGAUGACAAUGUUGUUUAACCCAUCGAGGACAUAAUUAGAACCCGUUUAGCGGCGUAGCGUGAGCUCGAUACGUCCUAAUUGUCACUCCUCAUAGCACCAACCUGCUAUCAAAUGCAUGUCAUGUUUUGGCAGGUAUGCUGCUAUGAACUGAUCCUCCGUGGCCUAGAAGUUUAAAGUUUAUGUGAAUCUUGCCUUCUUUUUCAGUCAUCUGUAACAUACACGAUUUGCGGCCUUUUGACUAACGUCACAUAUCAGCUAGUUGCAACAAUCAACAGGGAAGAUGACUGAUCAUUAGUUGCAGCCAAGUUUUAGAAUCUGUUUAUCCACUUAGAAACCAAAUUGGGAUAUGCAAUUGCAUUCCAGUUGAAUCCCGAUACCUCUGCAUUUUCUGUUUCAAGAAAGACAAUGACAUCGUGGGCAAUGACCGACUCGUCACGGUUAUUGUUCGUCAGGCAUUUAUAUGUUGAAUGGUUCAUUGCCAUUGGGCUAACAGUGCGUGCAGGUUAUUGGCUGAACAAAAAAGUUAGAUGCCCUCGAAAUAAGUUGGCUUGGCCUUCAUAGCGACACUAACCGAGUUGACUAAAUUAGAGGAUUAGCUCUUCAGGAGGGGCUUUUUCUUGUCUUCCCAUUUGUCCAAACGUCCUUUAGCUUUCUCCACCUGAAACAUGAAACAAACAACCAAAGCCCUCUAUUUAGGCGUAUUCAUUUGAGUCGCUUGCUGGCUGGUAAGACAAUUAUGCAUGUAAACAUGUCUUUUUAACUAUGUAGCUGUCUCACUGAACAGUCAAGUGGAUGAAAGUCAGAUGAGCUCAAGCCCAGUGGGUCAAGAGCCUAGUGAAGGACAUGCAUAAAUGAAAUGGCCCGCUAUUGAUGUUAACUCCAAAAUGAAUUUUUGCUGACAUUUUUGCCUGAAAAAUUCAUUUUAAUCUAGAUUUAAGAAGUGAUCUCAAGUUGGACGAUGAACUGUGACGCUACUGUGAAGCCUGCAGACAAAAGAUCACGCAGCGUGACUUCCCAUUUGAGCAGUGAUUCAGGCGUUUUGGUAAAUCGUUCGUAUUGGUAGACUAAUAGUUCAAAUGAUAUCACGGCCAUGUCAUUCAAAGCGACAACGCUAAAAGCUAUACGAUCACUAAAUGCUGAUUUGAUGAAAAAGAUAGUAAAUUUGCAUUAGAGUUUACCUCUUUGUUCCAGUCUGCGCGGUAUGUGACCCAAAUUAAAAUCAGAGUCUGGAGGGCCGUACCACCUAUCAUACCCGACCAUAUUCCCUGCAACCAAAAUCAGAAAUCACAAUGAUCGGGCGUUCGAUCUCGGUAGCUCUUCAACUGCUUAAACAAAGCAAAUCGAACGUAUAUAAAACGAUGUUUAAUGGUGAGAGGAUUUCACCUUGGCACCUAGGUCGAACUUAAAUCCAAGGAUGCAACCAAUUGGAAUUCCAACCACGUAAUAACAUCCCACGUUAACGUAGGCCACGAAGGCUUGCCACCCACAUCCCACGGCGACCCCUUUGAUUCGAAAUUCCAAAUGUUAGGUAACGGACGCAUGAACAUAUGACUUUUGACAGAAAAGGAAAAUGACAGACAUGAAUUUUAUGGUUCACACUUUCCACAUUCAAAGUUUCCAAUGUACUACUAUUUCUGGGGGUACGUAUGGUUCAGGUUGGGCCGGUCCAUCUCCUAACCAUAGGACCAACCCACAUAGUGUUGGUUCUCAAUUUUUGGGACCAAGAAUUGAUUCUAUUAAAUCUAGGACCGAGGAUCGGACCAAUCCAAUGGGUUUGGUCCAGUUCCAAGGUCAACCUAGGAUCAACUGAUAAUUUUUUUUGUUUUAUUUUUUGCACGUCUUGAAAUGGCGACCGAGGAUUGGACUGACCCAAUGAGUUUGGUGACGAACGAGGUCAGCAAAGAGAUGUGAGCAUCGAGUGGGGUGAGUGUUGAGCAGUUAGUGGGGUGAGUGUCGAGUGUUGAGCGAUGCAAGCAACUAGUAGCGAGGGAGGUGAGUGUUGAAUGGCGAACGAAGAAGUUGUUUCUUUCGAAUUUGGUAAGUUGAAGACUAAGAUGACAAAUAAGACAUAAGAGAAUAAAUACUAGAGGAGGAUACCAUAAGGAGCUAUUUAUGCCAUGAGAACUCCUCAGAGAGACAUUUUCUUCGUUUGUAAAUAUGGUCGUGGAUAAAAAAAAAAAUUAUAACUAAUAUAUUAGAUAAAUAAUAUUUUAUAUAGUAUAUAUAUUAUAUACAGUUAUGGUUGAUCCGGGUUAGACCGACCUUAAACUCCUAGAAUUGAAGAUUAACUUGCACAGUGUUGGUCCAGAGAUCCUAAGACCGAGGACCGACCCAAUCCCCGUGGGAACUGGACUAGGAUCGCCAUGGUUGGGCUAGUCCAGGGUGGGUCCAAGGUUGACCCUAGACCGAUACUCACCCCUAACUAUUUCCUCUCCUGGUUUUGAGCUGGUACUAGUAAAAGACAUUGAUCUUGCGUUGGAUAGGCAUGAUUGAAGCUUGGAUAUUUUGUUGGUUGAAGCUUUCUAAUUUGACAGGAUGAUGAAGGUGUAUCAGAUGUAUGAUCUGUACCAGCUCAGAGCAGGCCAUUUAUUCUAUAACCACCUUAGCUCAGACUGGCCAUUUUAAUGUGUCAGGGUCAGGGUCAGGGUCAGGGUCACUUUAGCUCUUCUUGCUCGAGACAAUACAAGCAAGCCCAUCUGAACGAGUUCCUUGGGCUGUGAGAAUCAAUUAAAGAAAUGACUGGUGACACCUACUUUCACUUUUAGAGAAAAAGAGCAUCAGCUUUACGGCGGCAGAUGCAUGAGGAUGACUAGGAUGCAGUUUCAACCAUGGUCUGCAUCAUGUGUCGCCGAUCCAAAUCGAGAGAUUGAACUCAGAAGCACGCUUCCCUAAUUUUUCUUAUCAGAUACCAGAAUCAUCCGCUUGUAUUGUGAAGCGAUUCCAUAUGAGAGUGAAACACUAGAAGUGUAUUGGAGUCUUAAAAAAAUUUAGCUUACCGGAUAAAACAGGCUGGACACCAUUGAGGAUGAGAGUGACUGCCAAGUAUGGGCAGAGUUCAGAGACGGCAUUGGCCACUGUCUCACCUUCUGUGAAUACAUAGCUGAUUACAUUUCUCAGUGCCAUCACUAUAAUCGCUUCAAUCACAGCAAUUAUGAAGGAGACCAAGUUCACAAUCACCACUGAGAAUGCUGCUGACUUUGGAUGCCCCGCCCCUAGUUCAUUUCCCACCCUCACGCUGCUCUUACAUGAUACACAUGAUUAGUUAACCUCGAAUAAUCAAGUACCACAACUUUAUAAUUAACUGGACCUUUGAUUUUUCUCUCUUUUCUUUUUUUGGGUAAAGAUGGAGCUGUAAGUAUAUAUCUACUUUUCAAAAUGAUUGAAUAGCUCAUUUUACUAUUGGAAGAGUAAUGUGCAUUUUGAUGGAUGGACUAUGACUUUGUAACAUUUCGUCUGUAGAUAUUAGUCUACAAUGUGCGUACAUUUGACUGAUUUUGCUUUCAAAAUACACAUAUUUUGUGCAAACUAGCCUGUGUAAUCGAAAUUUACCCCGGUCAUGUAUUCUAUAAAAAUCAUGCCACAAAAAAAGGUACCUUGCAGCAGCAUUAAACCCCACGGAGACCAUGAACAACAGUGCUUGUAUUGCCAUGCUGCACAACCGAAAAACCAUGCUUUCCAUUAACUUUUACAUCUCAAAGCAAAAAAUGAUCUACAUGAUUUCAUUUAGUGAAUCAUUUUGUCCAUUUCACUUAAUCGGAAAGGAAAAGCAUAGAAUAGGCAAGAAAAUAGCUCGAAAAGCAAGCAUCAAUCAAAGUGCUGUCAUCCUUAAGUUCUUGGUCACAGAAAAAGCUAUGCACAAUUAUCAGUUUCUCAUACCGUCAAAAGUUAAUUUCUCUGAUGCUUUUCGGUUAGAGAUUGAAAUGAGGGAUAAGCAAAGCUUUCAACUAACAAGUUGACAUGCUGAUGCUUUAUUCUGGCAUCAAUUAUGAGGUUGAAGAAAGGCUUUUAGCUGAGAUAAAAAGGUAAAAGACAAUUGAACAGCAGAAAUUAAAGCUAAUAUCCUUUUCUCUGAUCUCUUGCCACUAAGAAACAGAGAGCUACUAAUGGAACCCACAUUGCCUUAUCCAUCAUAGUUAGAUGAAUAUAUUCUAGGAAGAAAAAAUUGGAAUAAGUUCUCAUACACGGGGAACAAAGUUGGUGGUCAUUAUUCCUACUGUCUUAUAUUCCGUCGGCAAUCUUUUAGCUUCUUUAUUUUUAUUAUAUAUUCUAUAAACUUCAUCUCUCAUAUACAGUGUAUAUGAUAGUAUACAUGUCUACUCGACGCAGCUAUCUAUUUGUACGUUUGCCCUUGUUGCCACCCACCCACUUUAUCUAAAUUGCUGAUAUACAGUUGGGAAGCGUUUGUCCAAACCUACUUGACAUGCUAGGGGUCCAGGACAAGUCGUGGACAAAUUCUCUUCCACAAAAGACCAAAGCUAAACAUGGUGUUUGACAAGAAACUAAUCUUACUGACAUCACAACCCAUGACCAAGACACCCGAUUCCUACAAGCCAAGAUCUGCCAUACCAAAAGUAACAAGAUGGCAGAUUGUCUACGCAAAGAGUUUUGCAUUUAAAAAACAUGAAUCGCACUUCCAUUCUUCUCAUGCAUGAGUUGUCACCUAAUCUCAACACUAGAGCAUAAAAUUUGAUUUCACAUAGAAAUGAUAGUUCUUCACACAUUACGAGAGACUUCGAGACACCCGAGCUCAUUAGAACUUUCUAAGGUAAAACUAAUGAUACUCAAAACAUUUUACAUCUGUUUUUCGACGAAAGAGCACAUUAUUCGAUCAUGUUGAAACAUUUUGGUAAUGAGGUGAAAUACAUGAAUAACAUACGGAUAUGAUUGCAUUAUACAAUUUAUUAUCCAUAAUUUCACACGAUAUGCAUACGAAGGACUGAAAUAUUUGAGACAAAGAUCUUUUAAGGUCUUUUAGGUAUGCUCGACUCUGUCUGUCACAUCUGCGAGGGGACAAAGCAUGAUAAGCACACUCACCAAACAGCCAAAGAGUCAAGGGCGAGCUCGGGGUCGGGAAGCAACCCGGCGAUCAACACCAAGAUCUGGAAGUACCAAACCUCGAGGCACAGCAUCACGGCGGAUGCAGCCGAGAGCUUGAGGAAGUCCCACAGCCCCGAAAAGGCUUGCCAGCUGAACCCCGUCCAUGUCUGCUUGCACUGGCGGCUCGUUACUAUGUAAAUGAACUGGGCCCCUACUAUUAUCCACCAUGACAAGCUCAGUACCAGUGAUGCACCUAUCACAGAUAAUCUCACAAUCACCCUUGAGUAUUUGUAAUAAGCAUAGGAAAAAGCUAGAAGCAAAGGUUUUUCUAAGUUGGUUUUGCUUGAAAAAUUUGUCACGGUUUGGAGGAAAUGAUCAUGUUCUAUGGACGUCUAUGGAGUAUCUACCACCGGCGACUUCAACAAUGGCCUUUCAAAACUUCCGGAUCAUCACGGAAUGGAUCUACCACGACCAAACAAACGACUCCGGGCAUAAUUGAAAGAGAGGUUUUGGCACUAUUGGCUGGAGUAAGUACUGGGUACUUUCAAGAGUCAUGUGAUGGUCAUCUUGGACUGAUGAGAACCAUCCAAGAAGUACGUGCAUGAGUGCCGCUAGACGCUAUGGCCGUUGGAAAUUGUAAUCCAUUUUAUCUAAAACUUUAUAGAAACUUCAAGAUUGAUAUUAGCUAGAAAAGUCAAGAAAAAUCCUUAAAAAAGAAAAUCUAGCUUAAGCGGCAAAGAAAAGUGUAGAAGCACAAAUGUACAAAUCUCUAGAGGAAGAAAGAAGAAAAGGACAGCAUUCAAGAGAAGUCUAGAAUCCUCUAAGGCGGUUGUACUUAGUCGGUGGAAAUGCCUAUAAAAAGGCCGUAACUCCUCCACCAACACUUUCUUCAACUAUUGUAAAAUUAUUUUCGUAAACUAGUGAAACUAUCCUUGUCUCAUACAAAUUUAUAUUUAUCCCUUAAACUGUCCUAUCUCGCCCCUUGUCUGUCAUCUACAAACUAUAUCAUACACUUGCACACAACAUCACUAACGAAAAACUAUAACUAAUACCAAAACCAUGCUUCCGCACGUUCACAUCCAAUUUUUUUUAACACAGCCAAUGCUACACGAUAUUCCAGGACCAAGUAUAUCUACGUAGCGCCAAAGUAAUAACUCGUUCAAAUUACUCCUGUAGGGACUAUGGAUAUCAUCGUGAACGUCAUAUCUCGUGGGAAUCCAUCCACUUCUCACGAAGCAUCCAACUCUAAAGAGAAUUUCCUGCACUCUCUCUCUCUCGAAACUCACCUAUCAACCCUAGACCCAACUUGUACACAGCUAGCCAACUUAGCAAGAUGUGAACACAGAGCGUGGCCGCCGAAAUGUAGGCGCUGGGCCGGACUAUGCUUUGUGCCUGGAGGAACUUUUGUAUGGGGAAGUUCAAGGCGUAGCCGAAUAUCUGCGGGAUGAGGCCGUACACGUAUACUGCCGCCGCAGACGCCACUUCUGUCGAUUCUCCGAGCAGGAGCAAUAUGGGCUUUGACAGAACGAAAAUGAUGGUGAGCGGGAUUCCAGUGGCGGUGAGCACGACCAUCGCUCUUUGCAUGUAAAUGCCCAUCAUAUCGUAUCGGCUUGACCCGUAAGCUUGGCCACAUAGUGUCUCCACGGCACUUCCCAUCCCUAGCUGUUACAGAAAAAAGACCAAUGCUAGGUUAUCUCGAUUCAUCAAUAAAAUUGAGAAUGUUAAGGGACAUUACAAAGUCCAAGGAUAAAGGAGCUUUAUUGCAUUGAGCCAAUGAACUUUCCAACCUAGGAGACGAAAAAUGUCAAAGAGGGUUUUAACAAUUGCUAUAGCAAGUGAGUAACUAGUAAUGAAGUAGUGUUUUGGGAAACAAGAAGAUAAUUUUUUCUUCUUUGACAAAAGAAGAAAAAGAAAUUCCAAAUGUUGGAGAUGAACGCUUCACCUGCUUAGGAAGAAGAUGAGUUAUUAAUGGAAAAAAUAAAGUUUCAAACUCUAUCUCGAUGUAUUGAAACUCCUAUAGGACAUCAUAAUUAAAAUAAGAAAAUCGAAGUUUUUACAUUAGCAUUUUGGAAAUGAAAUGAAUGUUAGGUUAAAAGUCAUUGUUACAUUGGAAAAUUCAAAGUACUUAUUUGUAGAAAUUGAUUUAGCUAUUGGCAUGAAAGUAAGUGGCUCGAAAAGUUGGGCCAAUUCCAUAAAAAAACACAAACUUUAGAUGUCAUCCCAAAUUUGGCCCAAACUUUAUUUUCUCUAAAAAAAAAGUACGAACUUUAGGUGUUAUCCCAAAUCUGGCCCGGAGUUUAUUUUGUCUAAAAAAAAAGCAAGAACUUUAGGUGUUGUCCUAAAUCUGACCUGAACUUUAUUUUGUCUAAAAAAAAAGCACAAACUUUCACUUGUGUCCCAAAUCUGGCCCUCUGUUAAUCCUCAUUCUAUAGUCAUCCAACGUGGCAUUUCCACGUCAGCAAUAAUAUCUAACACAGCAAAACAAUGCUGCAUUCGAGUGUUUGGAAGAAGUGUUAAAAGUCUGUCCUCCAAUGAAGUGAACUUUACAGAUGAUUCUCAUGGGAAAAAUAAUGUAGCGGCUUCAGUUCCAGGGGACGAGGCACAUAGCUAGGGCCAUUAGAUCAAUUAAUAAUUGGCAAGCUGUUUGCAAUGUCAGAAGUUGGGUUGGAAGCAAAAGAUUACAUUGCCUUAAAGCGAGAUAUUAAAAGCGUGUACAUCUUGUAAUUAAAUAGAGACGUGAAGCCUAUUUGUAAUAGACUUAUUUUAUUUUGUCUCGAAUAAAAUUCGGGCUAGAUUUAGGACAAUACUUAAAUUUUGUGUUUUUUGUUUAGACAAAAUAAAGUUCGAGCUAGAUUUGAGACAAUAAUUAAAGUUCGUGUUUUUUUUUUAGACAAAAUAAAGUUCGGACCAGAUUUAGGAUAACACCUAAAAUUCGUGCUUUUUUAAGGAAUAGACCCCCGAAAAGUUAGAGAGGUGGGUUUUGUAGCUACACCAACCAAAAGGCCAUNNNNNNNNNNNNNNNNNNNNNNNNNNNNNNNNNNNNNNNNNNNNNNNNNNNNNNNNNNNNNNNNNNNNNNNNNNNNNNNNNNNNNNNNNNNNNNNNNNNNUUGCCGAGAUUAGCGGCGGCGAGCUCGAGGUUCCCAAUGUUGCGAUGGGGCGAGCGAUCGAACAAAAUAUAGACGGAAGAAGAAAAUAAAUCAGACACCGGAUUUACGUGGUUCAGUCGUAAAGACCUACGUCCACGGGGAGAGCAGCAGCGAAUUUCACUAUAAAUCAAGGGAUACAAGGAGAUUACACACUCAAGUCACUCAAACACUCUCUCGGUGUUUCCCAAGCCCCAAUUACACCCAAUAACACACACAGUGUUUAGCCCCGAAAUUCCUCAAGAAAUAAUCUCUCAAUCUCACAAAGGAAUUACACGCAAAUCUUACCGCAAGAUUUAAUUGGCUUUAACACUAAACCUUCUUGGAUGUAAUUCACGACAAAGAAAAUCCCUCCCAAGUACUCAACAACGAGGCGGUGCUUCAAGACCAAUUCUUCACGAUCAACGGCAGAACACCAAGCACUCAUGUGGCGCUUCAAAACAAUUUGUGAUCCACAACUAUCACCCAUGGCCUUAAGUCUAUAUAUAAGUAAAACCCUUAUUCUUUUGCCAACUUCUCAUAGGAUUUUGUUUCCUAUCCAAAACAUAUCUUUGUAUAUUUUAAACAAAAAAAUCCAAGUCCUAGUCAAAGUUGGACUUUCCUAUUUUAGCAACCAGACUCUCCAAAGCAGAUUCAAAUUCGGGAAGUUGAUCUUCGGAUCUUCUUUGCUCGAUUUCGAACAUCCACAACAUAUCCAAUUCGGAAUAUUCGUAAUUUUGCAUUGGGCUUAAACUCGAGACAUAUUUUCAACAAUCUCCACCUUGGCUCGACGUUUGAGCCAAAUUACAAUCGCUUCGUAAAAAUUCAAAUUCUGCUGCUACUUUCCCAUAGCCCCCGAUGGGCUCAACCGCCAUAGAUAUUAUCCAAGUUCAAGCAUCGCUUGAACUUCGCCAUAACUGAGGAUCUCAUCAGAAUACCAACUCCACAUGCACCUUUAACUGCUCCGCAAGGAUUUUCUGACACAACCUCCUCAACCGCAGAUAAAGCAAAACCAUUAUUGCAUCCAUAUCUAUCAGGAGAUUGAAUACAUACCUUGUCAAUAUCAGCAGUUACAGCAACCGUUGGCUCUAUAAGCUCCACCUCCGCUAUGAGUACCAUCCGUGAAUUUAUAUCUGGGCACCACNNNNNNNNNNNNNNNNNNNNNNNNNNNNNNNNNNNNNNNNNNNNNNNNNNNNNNNNNNNNNNNNNNNNNNNNNNNNNNNNNNNNNNNNNNNNNNNNNNNNNNNNNNNNNNNNNNNNNNNNNNNNNNNNNNNNNNNNNNNNNNNNNNNNNNNNNNNNNNNNNNNNNNNNNNNNNNNNNNNNNNNNNNNNNNNNNNNNNNNNNNNNNNNNNNNNNNNNNNNNNNNNNNNNNNNNNNNNNNNNNNNNNNNNNNNNNNNNNNNNNNNNNCCAUCUCUAGUAAUGUUCUGCUCAUCAUCUGCAAAUGUUGUGAUUUACUAGCACUAGUGCCGGUGUUUCACUAUGCCCUCUUCAUGCAGAAUUUAUUUGCCAGCUCUGAGCAAAACUCCAUGCUAUUGUCAGUCCGCACAUGCUUGAUCGACUUACCAGUCUCCGUCUUGAUCAAAGCUCUUGACUGCGAGAUCCUGACAUCAGCAUUAAACUUGUGCCUUGGCACAAACACCCAGGUCUUCCUCGAGUAGUCAAAAGACUCUCGAACAGAUGUAUCCGACGUCUCAGCAGCAAAAUUUAUCACUGUCUCACCUUGAAGUUUAUACGGGCCAUCAUGCUUGAUUCCUUUCAUUAUCACCAGGGCACCUCGAACAACCUUCAGAACUCCACCUUUUGAAGAAUACCUGCAACCAGCUGAAUCUAGGACACCUAAGGAAAUUAAGUUCUUCUUCAACUCUGGAACAUGCCUCACUCCAGUCAAUGUCCUCACAAUGCCAUCAUGCAUUCUGAUUUUAACAUCACCAACACCCACAACAUCGCACUUAGCGUUGUUCCCUAACUGGACUUUAUCACUACCCGUGCACUAAUAAGUGAUAAACCAAUUUCUAUUUGGUGUGACAUGAAAAGAACAACCAGAAUCCAUAAUCCAUCCAUCAAACGAUGAAUAAUCAGUGACAGACAAGACAUAAUCAGCAUUAUCUGCUAUAGCUGCAACAUUAUCUGUAGAAUCAACCAUAAUUCCCUUACCCUUCUCAUUCUUCAGCUUAAGGCAAUCCCUUCUAAGAUGCCCCCUCUUGCCACAGCUCCAACAGACAACAUUAGUAGUCCUAGAUUGACUACGUCUGUUCAUAUUAGUAUUACCAUUACCCACACGUGUUGUAGAUCUUCCUCUAUUUUCACCUACUAGAGCAGUAGAUGCAGAUUCGCCAGAUUCUCUUCUACGAAUGUCCUCGCUCAGAAUCAAAUCUCGAACCCCAUCAAACGUCAAACUUGUUGACCUAGAGGAAUUACUAACAGCAGUAACGGUAGUAUUCCAACUAUCAGGCAAUGAGGAUAAUAGAAUCAAAGCACAUACCUCAUCUUCAAAAUCAAUCUCAACUGAACUCAAUUGACUAACAAUCACAUUGAAUUCAUUGAUAUGAUCUGCAACUGACGCACCUUCUUUCAUCUUCAAGUUAAACAAACGUCGCAUCAAACAAACCUUGUUGAUCGCAGAGGGCUUCUCAUACAUAUCCGACAGGGCUUGCAUCAAAUCAGCAGUGGUCUUCUCCUUCAGGAUGUUAAACGCGACGUUACGAGCCAACGUCAGCCGAAUAACACCCAUAGCUCAUCUAUCCAGCAAAUCCCAAUCAUCUUGUUUCAUCGUCGCUGGUUUCUCCCCAGACAAGGGCAAGUGCAAUUUCAUUUGAUAAAGAUAAUUUUCAAUCUGCAUCUUCCAGAAACUAAAAUCCUUCCCAUCAAAUCUGUCGAUUCUCACUUUUACUUCUUCUGUUGCCAUCGAUUCGCUUCAACUUAGCCAAGCCUGGCUCUGAUACCACUUGUUGCGAUGGGGCGAGCGAUCGAACAAAAUAUAGAUGGAAGAAGAAAAUAAAUCAGACACCGGAUUUACGUGGUUCAGUCGUAAAGACCUACGUCCACGGGGAGAGCAGCAGCGAAUUUCACUAUAAAUCAAGGGAUACAAGGAGAUUACACACUCAAGUCACUCAAACACUCUCUCGGUGUUUCCCAAGCCCCAAUUACACCCAAUAACACACACAGUGUUUAGCCCCGAAAUUCCUCAAGAAAUAAUCUCUCAAUCUCACAAAGGAAUUACACGCAAAUCUUACCACAAGAUUUAAUUGGCUUUAACACUAAACCUUCUUGGAUGUAAUUCACGACAAAGAAAAUCCCUCCCAAGCACUCAACAACGAGGCGGUGCUUCAAGACCAAUUCUUCACGAUCAACGGCAGAACACCAAGCACUCAUGUGGCGCUUCAAAACAAUUUGUGAUCCACAACUAUCACCCAUGGCCUUAAGUCUAUAUAUAAGUAAAACCCUUAUUCUUUUGCCAACUUCUCAUAGGAUUUUGUUUCCUAUCCAAAACAUAUCUUUGUAUAUUUUAAACAAAAAAAUCCAAGUCCUAGUCAAAGUUGGACUUUCCUAUUUUAGCAACCAGACUCUCCAAAGCAGAUUCAAAUUCGGGAAGUUGAUCUUCGGAUCUUCUUUGCUCGAUUUCGAACAUCCACAACAUAUCCAAUUCGGAAUAUUCGUAAUUUUGCAUUGGGCUUAAACUCGAGACAUAUUUUCAACACCCAAGGUGGCUGGUGAAGAUGCGCGUCAAGAGAGCCAUGGAGUUGUUGAUCAUGUAGACCAUAACUGCGGGGGCGGCCAAAUAGAACAGCAGCUUGAGUUCUAUCCAAGUAGCCAAUCGGAGGCGAUUGAAGUAAGUUAACUCCAUGUCGGUAAGCACGGUCUCCAACUUAGAGUCCACUUGGUGUGGCGAGGGAGGAGCUGCCAGCGCCGCCGAUGCCGGUUGCUCUUCCUCAGCCGGCGAAAGCAGCGGCGCCGUGGAAUCGUGCUGCUCAUCGCUGGACUCCAUCAUGGUUCCAAUAGCAUCUAGUACAAGAUUAAUUAUGCAAUUCCCCGCGUCCCUUUUAAAAACUGUUAGUGUAGAGUAGUGUCCUAUUGAUCUUGAGAGCAAAUUGAGAGCGACAGUGGUAAAACAUGGUAUUCGAAAAGUAGAACAAGGGAUUUGCUCGCGGAACAUGUUGUGUACUAUCGUUGUUGUGAUAUUAGUGUGGAAACCGGCGGGAUAUGACUUCUCACAUUUUUAGGUUGCUUCAAUAUAGGCUUUCAUGCGUAGCCUUCCAAUAACCAUAAUUGAUUUCAUUAAAGUACUGAGGCUUGGUUGGUGCAAUAAAUCACCAAAAGGACAUGAGAAAUUUAUGCGACUUAGUUUGAGUAUUGGUACCUAUCCUAUGGGAAGUGCUAAUUUAUUAUAAUUGAAGUUUCAAAAUUAUAAUCGUUUAAAUGUUCUAGUGUUCCCUCACCUAAAUUAAUCCAUAUCUAAAUUGUUUAUAAAUAAGUAAGGAAAGAUAUCACCAAAAACUCUUAAUGCGUGCACUUGUACCACAUUUAUUGUAAAUUAAUUUUUGUGCCACAAAAUAUGUCUAAAAAAUCUUGAAAUUGAAACAUCCACGUUAUGUUUAUAAAUAUACCACAUUUACUCCAAAUUGUGUUAAAUUUGAAUUUUUGUUUGUUAUAUAUGACAUUACAGUAUUAGUUUGGAGUUUUUUUAUAAUAUGAAGUGUAAUAAGUGUACCAAUUUGAGAUAAAUAUAGUAUGAAUAUACCAAUUUAAUUUUUUUGUGACAUAAAAAUAAAUUUGAGAUAAAUAUGAUAAGUAUGUAUCGAUUCGAAGUUUUUUGCUAACAUGAAUAACUUAAUUACAAUCCAUCCGUUGGUAGCGCAGUUGGUUAAGAGUCCCUCCCUCAUCACUGAAGCGCAGUUGGUUAAGAGUCCCUCUCUCAUCACUGAGAUCGAGAGUUUGAAAUCCUGCGUUGCUAGCGAUUUAAGUGAGCGGCUAUGGCGGUAGGUUGCUGUGCUAGUCUUCCCCGAGGUAUAGGGACCCAGCCCUCAGGAGCCGUUCGGGUAUGGGAACAUGUGGCGGAGUCCUCGUUCACAAAAAAAAAAAAAAAACCUCAAUUACACAACAACAACCCGCCAUCUAUCCGAUGCUCCUUGUUCGGAGCGCUCCCUCGUGCCGCUCAAAGGUUGCGCUCUACUCGAGAGCCCACGGGCUGUUUUCCACAAGAAAAGGACAAGAGAGGUAAAAGUUAAAAAAGAAAAAUAAAAAAAACAUAUUUUACUUUGUUUUCUUUUCUCCGACAAAGACCCUUUCACCCCACAAUAAAUAUAUAUAAUUAUAUAUUUAUAACACUGUAGAAAAAAAAAACUUGUAUUUUACUCUUAUUUCUCUGUUGUGCGGCAAAAUACAGGAAUCAAACAACCAGACAUCUCCUUCGACCAAAACCAAAUAAGCCAGUAACCUUUGUUGAGAAGCAAAUGGAUGUAGAAGUAGAAUAAUUAUUAUUCUUUAUUAAACAAUAUUACAAGCUCCCUAUACCAUCACACUCUCACAACUACUCAUUGCACUUGCUCACCCACUCACUUCACAAACCACACCGAACACACUUACACUAUACCCUACACUCACGCCACCUACUCCACCCACUCACACACUUUUACUUGGGACUUCUUACUCACACACACAUGAGAAGCAGGUUGCUCCUAUUUAUGGGAUGAAAAGUCGGUGACCUGCUGGCUUUCUACACUAUUCUACAAGUAUUAUUUUAUUAUAGUGUGACAACUAGAUUUCUUUGGAGCAGUCUAGAAGUGGUGCAGCUUUUCUUGAUUUUUUUUUUUUUUUGGCUAGAAAAUUAUGAAGAGAAGGAGAGAGUGUAGUGCUCUCUUCAACACUCCCCCUCAUCGUCUAUUCUCUCUUAGCAUGGACCUUGUGAUCAUAUCAAGUUGCCUUCGAAACUCUUCGAAUUUUACAGCUCCAAGACCUUUUGGUGAAGAUGUCUGCAACUUGAUCAUCUGUUUUGGCAUACUCCAUCUUUAUCUCGCCUUGUAAUACUUUUUCCCGCAGGAAAUGAUAGUGCACUUCUACAUGCUCGGUCCUCGCAUGGAAAACUGGAUUCUUUGCUAAGCUUAUGGCUGAUAAAUUAUCCCAAUAUAUAUGUGUAGGUUGAUUUAUUGGUUGAUGAAGAUCCUCCAUUAGCUAUAUCGGCCAUGUACUCUCUUGUGCUGCCGUUGUUGUUGCUUUAUACUCAGCUUCUGUCGUAGAUAGUGACACAGUUGCCUGUCUUUUGCUGCACCAUGACACUACUGUUGAUCUGAGGCUAAACAUAUAUUCAGUAGUUGAUCGUCGUGUGUCACGAUCUCCAGCAAAGUCAGCAUCGCAAUAGCCUACAACUUCACAUGAUGCUUCUUUCUUAUACAAAAGCCCAAAAUCAAUUGUACCCUUUACAUACCUUAGUAUGCGUUUGACUGCAUCUAAGUGAGGCUUUCGUGGCUUCUCCAUGAAUCGACUUGCUACUCCUACUGCAAAGGCAAUAUCGGGCCGUGUUAUAGUUAGCUAAAUAAGGCUACCCACCAAUUGCUUGUACAUUGUCGAGUCUUCCAAUUCUCGUCCUUCAAUUGCACAUAACUUUACAUUUCUAUCAAUUGGAGUAGAUAUAGGUUUGCAAUCAAGCAUCCCAAACUUGUCUAAGAGGUCUCGUGCAUACUUCUACUGACAUAGGAAUAGUCCUUUAUUGGUCUUCUCAAUCUUGAGUCCUAGGAAAUGUUUCAAUUCUCCAAGCUCUUUCAUCUGAAACCGUACUGAUAGGUUGGUUCUGAUCUGACAUAUCUCUUCUUCAUUAUCUCCAGUGAUAAUUAGAUCAUCCACGUAGAUUAACACUAUUGCAGGCUUGCCAUCUUCUGCCUUCACAAACAAGCUCGAGUCUGUUGGGGCUACAGAGUAACCACUUUGUACCAAAAAUUCAGCAAUCUUCCUGUACCAUGCUCUCGGGGCUUGUUUUAAGCCAUAGAGGGCUUUCUUUAACUUACAAACAUAAUUUGGAUGACUCUUACUUUUGAAACCAUCUGACUGCUCCAUGUAUAUAUCUCGAUCUAGUUCUCAUGUAAGACUCGAAUUGUAGUAAUCUUUGCUACUAGGCUAAAUGUCUCAUCAUAAUCUAGGCCAUACUUUUGAGAGAAUCCUCGAGCAACUAGUCGUGCCUUAUAUCUUUCUAUCGACCCAUCUAGUCAAGUUUUAAGUUUAUAAACCUAUUUGCAAGAUAUAGGACAUACCUCUUUAGGUCUCGGCACUAAGUCCUAUGUUUCGUUCUUUCUUAGUGCUUGUAUCUCUACUUCCAUAGCUUUCCUCCAUUCCAUGCUUUGCAAGGCUUCCUCAUAUGUGGACGGCUCAACUACUCUAACAUCUUUGGUUAGCGCCGCAUUUGCAUAUUUGGGAUUUGGUCUUAUUUGUCUUGUUGAUCUCCUAACUUGAUGUUCCCGCUCUUCAAAUUCUUCCAUUUGACUUGGUCGAAGCUCUUCUGUAGUUCUCGGAUGUACACCAGUUCUCCAUGGGCUCUUUGAUUUUUUCGGUGACUGUGCUCUGACUUCUUUUCUUCCAAUUACAUUAUCAUUUCCUUCUUCAAUUUGCCGGCCCUUAUCAAUCUCGUCAUUUUCUUCCAUUCCUUCACGAAUCUCUUCUUCAACUUGUUUUGAAUUAGGUUGUGAUGUCCACCAAGAUGAUAGUUCGUCGAACACCACAUUUCUGGAAGUGUAACACCUCCCUGUUGUAGGGUUACAACACUUCCAUCCUUUUCUUUGAUCAUCGUAGCCCAUGAAUAUGCAGCGAACUGCCUUUUUAUCGAACUUAUUGCGAAGAUGGUCUGGCAUGAAUGCAUAGCAUACACACCCAAAUAUUCUAAAGUGACUUACCAUGGGCUUGCGAUUCCACAACUUCUCAUAAGGUGACAUAAAGCCAAGCCUUGCUUGAGGUAGUCUGUUGAUCACGUGCACUACUGUCUUCAUACACUCAGCCCAAAACUUGGGUGGAACAUUCUUCGCAUGCAACAUACUCCUGCAUGUCUCUGCCAAAUGCCGAUUCUUCUUUCAGCAACUCCAUUUUGUUGUGGCGUAUUUGGGCAGGUAAAUUGUCGAUGUAUCUUCCAUUCUUGAAGAAAUUUUGUAAAGUCAUUUGACUUAUAUUCUCCCCCAUUAUCUGUGCGAAUGCAUAGUAUUUUCUUGCCUACUUCAUAUUCUACUUUUGCUUUAAACUCCUUAAAUUUGUUUAAUACCUCAGAUUUUUCUUUCAUGAAGUCGACCCAAAUGUACUUGGAGAAAUCAUCGAUGAAUGUUAUCAUGUACUUUGAUCCUCUGAUCGACGGUUGCUUCACUAGUCCAAAUACAUCUGAGUGGAUAAGCUCGAGAGGUAUCCUAGUUCUGAAUGUGGACUCCUCCUAUGGAAGCUGAUGUGCCUUCCCGUACUGGCAUCCGGCGCAGAUGACGUCGGACUUCCAAGUGGGGGAGACCUUUUAGCAUACAUUUCUUCAUCAUCACCUUUAAUUUAUGGUAGCUCAUGUGCCCAAGCCGUGCAUGCCACAAAUCGGGUGUUUCACUCUUUCGAGUUUUGUCCACGUAUGCCGUCUGAGUUGACAUCACGUAGACAGACUCUAAUCAACACCCCUCCAUGAUUGGUGUACCAGUAGGUUUCAAAUUGCGGUACACCCUAACGUCUCUAGGACCGAACACCACAUAAUUGCUCGAGUCUGUAAGUUGUGCCACAAAUAAUAGAUUCUUCUUCAUUCCUGGCACACGGUACACAUUUUUCAGUUCGACUUGAUGCGAACUGAAUCGGGGUGUUAUCAUCGUUUGGCCCACAUGGGUAAUCGGCAACCUUGAGUUGUCUGCGGUGACAACUACUCGUCCACCUUUGUACUUGCACAUGUUUGAUAGCUUGCCUUGAUCUCCAGUCAUGUGAUUUGAACACCCCGAGUCAACUAUCCAAUCUUCAUCAUAAUCAAUCAAUUAAUCACUUACCGUGAUGAGGGCCAUCGCAUCUCCUAACUCUAUGAUGGAGGAGCUUGCAAGCUCUUCUUGUUCCUCCACUGCAAAGGAUGCUUGGAAAUCCCACUCUUCUUCUCUAUCAUUUUCCUUAGAUGCUGCAACGUUUCCUUCAACUCUUUUGAAUCGACAAUCCCUGGCAAAGUGACCUACUUUGCCACACAUGUAACACCGUCUAUUACGCCUUCUAUUCUUCUUUUCUUCAUUGUCGUCCUUAUCGCGGUCUCGACAAGCUCCCCCUGAUCGAGGUCCAGUUCCUUCUAUUCACUUUUGCCAUUCUCCAUGACAUUUCCAUGGUUUGUCAUCUCUUGCACCUGCUCUAUUUCUAUUCUGGCCCUUGAACCCUCUUUUGUUACUGAAGAGGGCACUUUUAUCCUCCUUAAUUGUGACCUUAGAAAUUUGUUUAUCUAAGGCUUCUUGGUUGGCCAAUAUAUUCUCCAACUCUGUUAGAGUUGGCUCAUUUGCCCAUCCAUGGGUGGCCGUAACAAUACCAUUAUAUUUCGGCCUUAACCCGUGAAUUAUUAUUCUUCUCAUUCUUGUCUCAAAGAUGGCAUUCUGAGGAUCUAAUUUUGAAAUUUCUUCGCAAAUAGAUUUAACUUUAGAAAAGUAUUGACUCACUGUCAUACUUUGUUGCGAGAUUGAGAGGAGCUCGUUCUCCAGGCAUUGUAACUUGGCAUCGUUUGUCCUCGCAAACAACGUUACCAAGUUAUCUCAGGCCUCCUUCGGGGUCGUUGCACUCUUUACGUGUUGCAAUAAUUCAUCUUCAAUAGUCACGGCAAGAACGUAAAGAGCCUUACCUGAUUUUAUGUUCCAUUUUCUUAAUUCGCUAUCAUUCGUGGGUGGGGUGGUGUUGCUCCGCCAACAAUAUUCCACAAAUCUUGACCUAGCAAGUAAUAUUGUAUGUGGGUACUCCAAUUAUUAUAAUUUGAGUUGUUGAGCUUCUCGAUGCCACUUACCGAACUCGAGAAAUCCGCCAUCGUGACUUGAGUAUAAUGCCUCGCACUAUACCAAGUAAGCCUAGUCCCAAACCAACUGACUUUCCAAUCCCAGAUUGUGCACUGAUAGAACUUCGACGCACUUCGCUCCUUGGCUCGACAAACCUGACCGCCUACUCACUUACAAUGGUCCUCGACCACUGUCUUUGCACGGCCUCCGACAACCUGCUCUGAUACCACUUGUUGAGAAGCAAAUGGAUGUAGAAGUAGAAUAAUUAUUAUUCUUUACUAAACAAUAUUACAAACUCUCUAUAUCAUCACACUUUCACAACUACUCGUUGUACUUGCUCACCCACUCACUUCGCAAACCACACACGAAGCACACUUACCUACACUCUACACUCACGCCACCUACUCCACCCACUCACACACUCUUACUUGGGACUUCUUACUCACACACACAUGAGGAGCAAGUUGCUCCUAUUUAUAGGAUGGAAAGUCGAUGACUUGCUGGCUUUCUACACUAUUCUAUAAGUAUUAUUUUAUUAUAGUGUGACAACUAGAUUUCUUUGGAGAAGUCUAGAAGUGGCGCAGCUUUUCUUGAUGGUUUUUUUUUUUUUUUUUGGCUAGAAAAUUCCAGAGAGAAGGAGAAAGUGGCGGUGCUCUCUUCAACAGGCCCCUUGUUCACAACUAGUCGAGGCAACUAUCUCAUCCGACGAAUCCUAAUCCAAGUAAGUUCAAAUUUGACAUAUAAUUUAAUAAGUCACUUAAAAACCUCCUUAACAUGAACAUAUUUAUAUUUGAUGAACCUAUGUUAUACUUCAUAAAAAAAUUCCAGAACAUUUGGAGCAUGUUUCAUACCUAAAUGACAAAUAUAAAUAUUUUUUAACAAAUAUAGAAAGUGUGUACUCUUAACAAAUUCUAUGGUGGAUUUAUUAUAAAACAAUUAGUUAAAAUAGUUUAGUACUUUCUCAUUUCUAUUAUUCCAAAAUUACCAUUUUCUUGACUCACACACAAAUUUCUAUUUACUUCAUUCCCACAAUGGCCACCAUUCUUCUCAUUAUUUUUUCAAUGAAUAAUCAACAAGCAUUUCAUCCUGUCACCAAUUUUUCGCUAAGUUCUCUGUUCUUUCAUCUAAGACAUUAUUGAAUUCUUUUUCCUAUCUUAGUGAUUUACUUCUAUAGGGAAAUCUACCAUUGAAAAGGCUCAUGAAAAAUACUUUUGACGCUUGUUUUCUUUUUCAAUUCUAGAUUCCAAUCAGUAGUUUCUUGGCCUUUGCUGAAAAACACACAUUUUAUGGAUAAAACAUACAUCUUCCGAUCUUUGGCAUUGGGAGCAUGACAUUUUUAAUCUUUUGGUUCCGAAACGACGCUUUUUUUUUUUCUUUUCGAAAUGACGCUGUUAAAGAUGUCAGAAUUUCUCUGCUAAUUGCUAGUCGUCAUUCAUCCCUAUCUUACCAAAGCCAACUACCAAAGUUCUUUAAACAGGCAAUAAUUGGAAGUAGGCUGAUGAAAGGAUCGAGAUAGAUCAUUUACGUUUCUCAACCGUGCGUGUGCCUCGUUCUGGCUAAGAAUGCUAGCGGUGGCGGCAUAAAUGAGUUUGUUGUCUAGGUCGGUUGAUGUAUACAUGUCAAUUUAUUCGUCGGCCUAUUCCCUUGGGUAGAGUUAAAACUGGAGCGAACCCUUGAUUCACUUUUUUUUUUCUUUCUUUAAAUAUAUUACAAGGAAAAAUUAUCCAAAAAAAAUUCUAAAUUUAUUGUACAAUCUCUCUUCUUUUUUUUUUUUGUUUCUUUUGUUUAUCUUUUGUUUAGUUUUGUGUUUCAGAGGAUUACUUGAAUCUUUUAUAAGGAUAACUUUUCCGUCUUGAUUUGCCACUCAUUUUUGUUCAUUAGUUUUGCAUUUGUAAUCACCUAGUCCUAAAUCUUUUAACGAUUCGCCAAUUUAGUCAUUCCAAUCAAAAUUAGUCGGAAAACAAUGACCAUGUUUUACCACUGUGGUGGGGGUGGGGACGAGAACUUUCACAUGGGGAGUAUAUGAGCAGAGCCAAAACUAGCUGAGAAGAAUGGCUGUUGCUAUGCUAUCUUAAGUUGAUGAGAAAUCUUUUAGUCCGAUGCAUCUCUCAUGUUGUGACAUUCACCUAAGACUUAGAUUCGCUCCAAUGCUGGUGGUAAAAUGGAUGCAUGAGACAAUUGCAGCAUGUAAGUUUUGAACAUCAAGUGUCUCACCUCUUGAAGCUCUUUUUUUAUGUAGGUGGCCAACGUAAAAGGUUAUCAGGAACAAGCAGACAAUGCAACCAGAAGGUUAUGGUUUCAUUGAGUUUUACACUCGGGCAGCAGCAAAAGAGUACUGCAGACGUACAAUGGUGCAAUCAUGCCCAAUGGUGGAGAGAGCUUUAGACUGAACUGGGCUAGUGCUAGUGAAAAACGUGCGGACGAUACCCCUGACUAUACAAUUUUUGUGGGGGACUUGGCUUCAGAUGUUACGGACUACAUGUUGCAAGAGAUGUUCAGAGGACGCUAUCCUUCUGUUAGGAGUGCAAAAGUAGUAAUGGACAGGCUUACGAGCCGUACAAAGGGUUAUGGGUUUGUUAAGUUUGGAGAUGAAAGUGAGCAGAUACGUGCUAUGAGUGAGAUGAAUGGAGUCUUCCUUUCAACAAGACCGAUGAGAAUUGGACUUGCCACAAAUAAGAAAAUCGCUACUGGGCAACAGUAUCAAAAAGGUAUGUUACAGCAAUUCGUCUCGUCGGUUGUUGAUUGCUAGUAGUCAUUAGGUGAGAUUAUAUUCUAUCUUGAUGUGAAACUGCCGUUGUGCUUAGUUGUGAUAUCAAUCUCUUUGUUUGUUCUAUAUAAGAUCCCCGACUUUUUUUAGUAUUUUUCCUUUUCGAUCUCUGAUCCACAAUAUGCCAAGCGCACUGUUAUCUACUCUCUCUGUCUCUGUAUUGUUGUUGAAGACGAGCAGCAGUUACAAAGUUACUUUCCUUUACGUAUUUGGGCUCAAUAAGUAUUGUCAGUUUAAAGUUUCAAAACUUAUAGAACUCCUAUUGUCUCAAAGCAGGCUGUCGAGAGGCUCUAUCAUAUAGGGGCCUGGAACCGAUUUCAGAUGAAAUGGUUGUCCUUUUAGUCCGUGGCCUCGCUUAGGUCAGUGUUCCUGUUUACGUAAUGUUGUUUAUUUGAGUUUCAUGUAGCAUUUUGAUGCUACAGUUUCAGUUUAUUCUCAGUUUAAUCCUUCUAGCACCCAGUGAGAUUACUUCCAAUAUUGUACUAGUUAAUUACGGAGCCACCAGUUCAGUUACGUUGUGUUUCAGUGCUCACAAUUUUUGUCGUCCAUAUUUCCUUUCCGAGAUUUCUUUCCAGUUCAUUGUUAAAUUCCUUAUUAUUGGCCUAGAGUUGUCCUGUUGUGUCUCUCUUAUUACCGAUUUUCUUAAAAUUGUUAAGUUUCCCUGGAGCUUAGGUGCUAGAAAUUCUCUCUGGGCUAGCUGUUGCUGAUCGAGUCAUUCUCCUGGCAUCCUUUCUUGCCUACUCUUUUGCUCAACUUUCAUAUCCUUUAUGGUAAUAGUCUUCCAGUUCUUUAUGAAUUAAGACUCAUUAAAAACAUGGCCUGCUUUAACCAUAAGUUUCCUUUUGUUGAUACCAUUGCUGGGUUUUCCUAUUUACUACAGAUUCCAUUGGACAUGCCUUUACUAUCAGGCCUGAAUAUUAAUUAUUCUGGUCUGUUCUCUGGGUGGUAGCUUAUAUUUUGGUUAAAUAUGAAUCUGUUCAUCAUGUCAGUGUCAACUGCUGUAUACUAUAGAUAGUUCUGGUCUAGGAAGUGGGAGAUGUUGGAAAACAAGUUCGUUGUUGGUGUUGGUGAAUCGGUCAUUAGAGUAUUCAGGUUUUGAAUGUGAUUUGUUGCGUAAAUCUGAUAUAUAGGCGAAAUAAUCUAGUCGCUGCUUGAAAACUUUUGUUCUUUUUUAUUUCCUCACCAGUUGAAGGUUUUGUCUGAGCAAUUUAUGCGUUUUAUAAAUAGAAUUUCUAGUGUGCUGUCCUAGGUUUUCUUUCUAUUUAGAUGCAUUUGAAUAGUAAAACUUUUGAUGCUUGCUCAGUUGUCUCCGGUGCUGCAUGGUGCAUUUUGGCAUUGGAUUUUUUAGAAGUGACUUUUGGCAGCAUUGUAGCCAUCAUAAUCAUCAUCACUAAUAGCAUUAUUAUUUGGACAACUGUUUGGCUUAUUAUUUGGGUCUUCUUUAGUAUGUGAGUGUGUUGAUGUUUGUUGGUUUCGCAUUUUUGGGGCAGGACAGAAACUGACAUCUGGUAUGUGUAAGUACCAUAAGCAAUAGAUCAAACCUGCCUCUGGUGACGAUCCGAUUUGACUUUCUCAAAAGAGAUGCCUUGCUUGAAAUGGCGAUACAAAUUCUCUUCAUUGUUUCAUUUAUGAGCUUGUUUUUCUUAUUUGCAGCAUCUUACCAGAACACUCAAGUUACUCCAAAUGAGACUGAUCCCAAUAAUAAAACUGUAAAUUUUCUUCCUCAUCUUCCAGUAUUAAGAAACCAGUCUAUUAUAAUGGGCGUCACUGAGAUUUUUCAUUUCAGGUAUUUGUUGGUGGUCUAGAUCCCAAUGUGACUGAUGACCACUUGAGACAAGUUUUUGGACAAUACGGCGAAAUUGUCCAGGUGAAGAUACCACCUGGAAAGCGGUGCGGAUUUGUUCAGUUUGCUGAUAGGUAAUUCAAGUUUAUUAAUUUGUGAGAUGCCACCUCUUACCAGAAAAAUCAUAGUUUUCUUACUCAUUGUUUGAUGCACCAGGAGCUGCGCGGAAGAAGCUUUGCGAAUGUUGAAUGGAACCCAGCUGGGAGGACAGAACAUUAGGCUUUCAUGGGGCCGGAGUCCUGCAAAUAAACAGGUUUGUUUAUUCAUUCGGAUGAGUUGAUAAUGCGUCGGUCAAUUUUUCCCCGUGUCCAUAAGUCUGUGCAGUACUUUUAACAUGUGAUCUUUGCUUUCCUUUUUCAGCCACAGUCAGAUCCUAGCCAGUAUGGAGGGUAUUACGGAUAUGCUGCUGGUUAUGAAAACUAUGGAUAUGGUGCAGCUUCGCAAGAUGCUAACAUGUACUAUGGCGGUUACGCUGGAUAUGCAAAUUAUCAGCAGCCCCAGCAGCAACAGCAGCAACAACAACAAUUAGGUUACAGUUGAGAAUUUGGCGAAUCUCGGGGCAUUCUGUCAUUGUGCUUAGCCUGUAAUUGGAAGCUGCACUCCUCCUUACCUUCUCUCUUUCUUGCCUAUUGCGAGCCUUUUUUAGUUUGUUGUCUUAGAAUUUUCACACCGACAUAAAACCUUUGAAUCUUUUGUCCGGAGAUCUCAUCUGUUGUACUGCUCUCUUUUUGUGUUCUUGAUGC